AAAGAUGUGAGUAAUGCAGUUACAAUGUCUCUUGGUCAAUCUUACAAAGUCGGGAAAUAGAUUCAUAUAUAAGGAACAAUAUAUAAUCAUCUAGAAAUAGCAUCACUGAUAUCUGAAUCCAAGUGAAAACAUCCGUAAGCAACCAUGCUAAUUACAAAACGGUGUACGAAUUUUGUUCUCUUUACAGUGGAAGCCAAGUUGCUUUACGAGGAAGCAUACAUAUUACCAAGUUGCUUUAUGGUCAUAGUUUUUUAUUGACAGAUGAUCAAGAUUUUAAGGAAACCCCUGACACUUAGCUUGGAUAACCAAUAAUGGAGUUGAGCCUUAUUUUGUGCCCACUUUCCCUCGAAGCUACCUUAUCUUAUUGCACAUAGAGCUAUACUGAUUAAUUGGAAAAUAAAAUGAAUGCCAUUGUGCAUCCAUGAUCCAUCAUGAAGGGUAGAGGAAAAAAAGAAGGCUUCACCUGAACCUAACAGUAACAGUAACAGAACCCCAAACGCCAAAGCUCGCAAGAUGAACUUGAUGCUGGUUUAGUAGACAAGCUUGGUAGUGACCUGACAACAUAGCAUUGGAGGGGGGCGUUCAUAAGACCCUGCUAAUUGAGAGAACCCUGGAACUGCAGUGACAGCCAAAACAAAGCAAUUGUUAAUCGAUGUAACCAAAACCGAUAACAGUGCAACAGGCAAAAAUAAUGAAAAUGCAUUGGCGGUAACAAUCGUCUCCACUUGGGAACACGAUCGCCGAUGGCCUGAGCCAGCUGCGCUGAGCUGACCUAACACGCGACUAGAUCGAGACCUGCUGCUGCUGCUGGAGAUAAGGCGAAGAGCUUGAAGCGAAUGUGCACAAGGGCAAGGAGAAUCGAGCGCCUCCGGAUAUUGAGCUGCAGCCACGGGCAGUGCACCGCCAUCACUGUGGAAGACGAUUGAAGAUGGCGGCCAAGUAGGACUAGGAGAGGAAAAAGGAAAAGACUAGGAGAGAACAAA
rnacentral:lncRNA from 1 species